rnacentral:rRNA from 1 species
ACGAACGCUGGCGGCGUGCUUAACCCAUGCAAGUCGAACGGAAAGGCCCUGCUUGCAGGGUACUCGAGUGGCGAACGGGUGAGUAACACGUGGGUGAUCUGCCCUGCACUUCGGGAUAAGCCUGGGAAACUGGGUCUAAUACCGGAUAGGAGCCAUUUUUAGUGUGAUGGUUGGAAAGUUUUUUCGGUGUAGGAUGAGCUCGCGGCCUAUCAGCUUGUUGGUGGGGUAAUGGCCUACCAAGGCGGCGACGGGUAGUCGGCCUGAGAGGGUGGACGGCCACAUUGGGACUGAGAUACGGCCCAGACUCCUACGGGAGGCAGCAGUGGGGAAUAUUGCACAAUGGGCGCAAGCCUGAUGCAGCGACGCCGCGUGGGGGAUGACGGCCUUCGGGUUGUAAACUCCUUUCGCUAGGGACGAAGCUUUUUGUGACGGUACCUAGAUAAGAAGCACCGGCUAACUACGUG